rnacentral:rRNA from 1 species
GAUCAAGCUAAAAAGGGCUGACGGUGGAUACCUAGGCACACAGAGGCGAAGAAGGACGUGGCUACCGACGAAACGCUUCGGGGAGCUGGAAGCUUGCUGAGAUCCGGAGAUGUCCGAAUGGGGCAACCCUUUGUACUACCUGCUGAAUAUAUAGGCAGGAAAGAGCGAACCGGGCGAACUGAAACAUCUUAGUAGCCCGAGGAAAAGAAAGCAAAAGCGAUUCCCCUAGUAGCGGCGAGCGAAGCGGGAACAGCCUAAACCACUAGCUAUAAGCUAGUGGGGUAGUGGGACAGCACCACGGGAGAUGGCGGACUAGACGAAGCAGUUGAAAACUGCACCAGAGAAGGUGAAAGUCCUGUAGUCAAAAGAACAAAAUCCCCAGCUGAAUCCCGAGUAGCACGGGACACGUGGAAUACCGUGUGAAUCAGCCAGGACCACCUGGUAAGGCUAAAAACUACUGUGUGACCGAUAGCGAACGAGUACCGCGAGGGAAAGGUGAAAAGAACCCCGGGAGGGAAGUGAAAAAGAACAUGAAACCGUCAGCUUACAAGCAAUGGGAGGACGAUUAAACGUCUAACCGUGUGCCUGUUGAAGAAUGAGCCGGCGACUUAUAGGCGAUGGCAGGUUAAGACGGUGAAAGUCGAAGCCAAAGCGAAAGCGAGUCUGAAAAGGGCGUAUAGUCAUCGUUUAUAGACCCGAACCCGGGUGAUCUAACCAUGUCCAGGAUGAAGCAAGGGUAACACCUUGUGGAGGUCCGCACCGACCGAUGUUGAAAAAUCGGCGGAUGAGGUGUGGUUAGGGGUGAAAUGCCAAUCGAACCCGGAACUAGCUGGUUCUCCCCGAAAUGCGUUGAGGCGCAGCGGUUGAGGUCAAAUCUGGGGGUAAAGCACUGUUUCGGUGCGGGCUGCGAGAGCGGUACCAAAUCGAGACAAACUCAGAAUACCAGAUGUAUUGCUCAGCCAGUGAGACGGUGGGGGAUAAGCUUCAUCGUCAAGAGGGAAACAGCCCAGACCACCUGCUAAGGUCCCAAAAUGACUGCUAAGUGAGAAAGGAGGUGGGGGUGCUUAGACAACCAGGAGGUUUGCCUAGAAGCAGCAAUCCUUGAAAGAGUGCGUAAUAGCUCACUGGUCAAGGGCUCCUGCGCCGAAAAUGAACGGGGCUAAGCAGUAUACCGAAGCUGUGGGAUUGUUAAAACAAUCGGUAGGGGAGCGUUCCGUAUAGGGAGAAGCAGUAGCGGCAAGCAGCUGUGGACAGUACGGAAGUGAGAAUGUCGGCUUGAGUAGCGCAAACUAGGGUGAGAAUCCCUAGCCCCGAAACCCUAAGGGUUCCUCCGGCAGGCUCGUCCGCGGAGGGUUAGUCAGGACCUAAGGCGAGGCCGAAGGGCGUAGUCGAUGGACAACGGGUCAACAAUCCCGUACCGGUGCUAGUAGGUGCAGAGGGACGGAGAAGGUCAAGACCAGCCGGACGAUGGUUACCGGUUCAAGCAAGCAAGGCGUAGAGGGAUGGGGAAAACAUCCGGAGUUGAGCUGCGAGUACGAGCUGCUACGGCGGCGAAGUGGGACGAGAUCGAGCUUCCAAGAAAAGCUCUAAACACUAUUGCUAGGACUGCCUGUACCCGAAACCGACACAGGUAGGGAGGUAGAGAAUACUAAGGGGCGCGAGAUAACUCUCUCUAAGGAACUCGGCAAAAUGGCCCCGUAACUUCGGGAGAAGGGGUGCCCUCAGAAAUGGGGGUCGCAGUGAAGAGGCCCAGGCGACUGUUUACCAAAAACACAGGUCUCCGCGAAGUCGCAAGACGAAGUAUGGGGGCUGACGCCUGCCCAGUGCCGGAAGGUUAAGGAAGUUGGUCAGGGGUAACCCGAAGCUGACGACUGAAGCCCCGGUGAACGGCGGCCGUAACUAUAACGGUCCUAAGGUAGCGAAAUUCCUUGUCGGGUAAGUUCCGA